GACAGAGUCUAUAAUGGAUUGGCUGACCACGAUCCAGAGUCAGUAAUGAGGCUGGCACCCUUGACCCUACGACUAAGUCAUCAGAGCACCAGGUUUCAGGCCCAGUGCCUACAGGUAUAGAAGAGAAGAGAAAGCAAGCAAGGUAUGGGGUGGGGAAGGGCAUUGCAAAGGGUGGGGCAGUGAAACCGCAGGGAAGCCCAC
rnacentral:lncRNA from 1 species